UGGGGAAUAUUGGACAAUGGGCGCAAGCCUGAUCCAGCCAUGCCGCGUGAGUGAUGAAGUCUCUAGGGUUGUAAAGCUCUUUCACCGGUGAAGAUAAUUACGGUAACCGGAGAAGAAGCCCCGGCUAACUUCGUGCCAGCAGCCGCGGUAAUACGAAGGGGGCUAGCGUUGUUCGGAUUUACUGGGCGUAAAGCGCACGUAGGCGGACUUUUAAGUCAGGGGUGAAAUCCCGGGGCUCAACCCCGGAACUGCCUUUGAUACUGGAAGUCUUGAGUAUGGUAGAGGUGAGUGGAAUUCCGAGUGUAGAGAUGAAAUUCGUAGAUAUUCGGAGGAACACCAGUGGCGAAGGCGGCUAACUGGACCAUUACUGACGCUGAGGUGCGAAAGCGUAGGGAGCAAACAGG
rnacentral:rRNA from 1 species